GGGUUUCUGUCUCUGCUUCCAUCAGUCACUGGAUGAAGGUUCUAGGAUGAAGAGGACGACCUUCCCCGAAUAGAGGAAGACCGGUCUUCGGUCAAAGCUAUACUAGUAGCUGCGCUCCACUGCUAGAACCUCCAAACAAGCUCUCAAGGUCAAUAUCAAUGUUUUUAAUUGCAAUUUUCAAAAGAUAUUUACAAUUAAGUGAGUAGCUUUUU
rnacentral:snRNA from 1 species